rnacentral:rRNA from 1 species
GGUUAAGUGACUAAGCGUACACGGUGGAUGCCUUGGCAGUUGGAGGCGAUGAAGGACGUACUAACUUGCGAUAAGCCUAGUCAAGCCAGUAAGAGGCGCUUGAGACUAGGAUUUCCGAAUGGGGAAACCCACCUGCUUGCAGGUAUCGUUAACUGAAUACAUAGGUUAACGAGGCGAACGCGGAGAACUGAAACAUCUAAGUACCCGUAGGAAAAGAAAUCAACCGAGAUUCCGAAAGUAGCGGCGAGCGAAAUCGGACCAGCCCUUAAGCUUUAGUGUAGUUAGUGGAACAUGUUGGAAAGCAUGACGAAACAGGGUGAUAGUCCCGUACACAAAAACUUAUCUAAAGUGAAAUCGAGUAGGUCGGAGCACGUGAAACUUUGACUGAAUAUGGGGGGACCAUCCUCCAAGGCUAAAUACUCCCAACUGACCGAUAGUGAACCAGUACCGUGAGGGAAAGGCGAAAAGAACCCCUGUGAGGGGAGUGAAAUAGAACCUGAAACCGUGUACGUACAAGCAGUAGGAGCCUACUUGUUGGGUGACUGCGUACCUUUUGUAUAAUGGGUCAGCGACUUAUAUUCUGUAGCGAGGUUAACCAUUUAGGGGAGCCGUAGCGAAAGCGAGUCUUAACUGGGCGCUUAAGUUGCAGGGUAUAGACCCGAAACCCGGUGAUCUAGCCAUGGGCAGGUUGAAGGUUGAGUAACAUCAACUGGAGGACCGAACCCACUAACGUUGAAAAGUUAGGGGAUGACCUGUGGCUAGGAGUGAAAGGCUAAUCAAACCGGGAGAUAGCUGGUUCUCCCCGAAAUCUAUUUAGGUAGAGCCUCGGACGAAUACUUACGGGGGUAGAGCACUGUUAAGGCUAGGGGGUCAUCCCGACUUACCAACCCUUUGCAAACUCCGAAUACCGUAAAGUAAUAUCCGGGAGACACACGGCGGGUGCUAACGUCCGUCGUGGAGAGGGAAACAACCCAGACCGUCAGCUAAGGUCCCAAAGUGUAUGUUAAGUGGGAAACGAUGUGGGAAGGCUAAAACAGCUAGGAGGUUGGCUUAGAAGCAGCCACCCUUUAAAGAAAGCGUAAUAGCUCACUAGUCGAGUCGGCCUGCGCGGAAGAUGUAACGGGGCUAAACAUACCACCGAAGCUACGGCUGCGUACGUAAGUAUGCGGGGUAGGGGAGCGUUCUGUAAGUGGCUGAAGGUGUGCCGGGAGGCAUGCUGGACAUAUCAGAAGUGCGAAUGCUGACAUGAGUAACGACAAGAGGAGUGAAAAACUCCUCCGCCGGAAGACCAAGGGUUCCUAUCCCAUGUUAAUCAGGGUAGGGUGAGUCGACCCCUAAGGCGAGGCUGAAGAGCGUAGUCGAUGGGAAACGGGUUAAUAUUCCCGUACUCGGUAUGAAUGCGAUGGGGGGACGGAGCAGGCUAGGCAAGCAUGGCGUUGGUUGUCCAUGUGAAAGGCUGUAGGCUGGUGACUUAGGAAAAUCCGGGUUGCUAAGGCUGAGAGUCGAGACGAGCCACUAAGGUGGUGAAGUUGUUGAUGCCCUACUUCCAGGAAAAGCCUCUAAGCUUCAGUUCAUACUGAAUCGUACCCUAAACCGACACAGGUGGUCAGGUAGAGAAUACUAAGGCGCUUGAGAGAACUCGGGUGAAGGAACUAGGCAAAAUUGUACCGUAACUUCGGGAGAAGGUACGCUCUUGUUUGUGAAGGACUUGCUCUGUAAGCAAACGAGAGCCGCAGUGACCAGGUGGCUGGGACUGUUUAUUAAAAACACAGCACUGUGCAAAAUCGUAAGAUGACGUAUACGGUGUGACACCUGCCCGGUGCCGGAAGGUUAAUUGAUGGGGUUAGCUUAGGCGAAGCUCUUGAUCGAAGCCCCGGUAAACGGCGGCCGUAACUAUAACGGUCCUAAGGUAGCGAAAUUCCUUGUCGGGUAAGUUCCGACCUGCACGAAUGGUGUAACCAUGGCCACGCUGUCUCCACCCGAGACUCAGUGAAAUUGAAAUCGCAGUGAAGAUGCUGUGUACCCGCGGCUAGACGGAAAGACCCCGUGAACCUUUACUACAGCUUGGCACUGAACAUUGACCCUACAUGUGUAGGAUAGGUGGGAGGCUUUGAAGCAGAGACGCUAGUUUCUGUGGAGCCGACCUUGAAAUACCACCCUUGUAGUGUUGAUGUUCUAACUUAGGCCCCUGAAUCGGGGUUGAGGACAGUGCCUGGUGGGUAGUUUGACUGGGGCGGUCUCCUCCCAAAGAGUAACGGAGGAGCACGAAGGUUUGCUAAGUACGGUCGGACAUCGUACGGUUAGUGUAAUGGUAGAAGCAAGCUUAACUGCGAGACAGACACGUCGAGCAGGUACGAAAGUAGGUCAUAGUGAUCCGGUGGUUCUGAAUGGAAGGGCCAUCGCUCAACGGAUAAAAGGUACUCCGGGGAUAACAGGCUGAUACCGCCCAAGAGUUCAUAUCGACGGCGGUGUUUGGCACCUCGAUGUCGGCUCAUCACAUCCUGGGGCUGAAGUCGGUCCCAAGGGUAUGGCUGUUCGCCAUUUAAAGUGGUACGCGAGCUGGGUUUAGAACGUCGUGAGACAGUUCGGUCCCUAUCUGCCGUGGGCGUUUGAGAAUUGAGAGGGGCUGCUCCUAGUACGAGAGGACCGGAGUGGACGAACCGCUGGUGUUCGGGUUGUGAUGCCAAUUGCAUUGCCCGGUAGCUACGUUCGGAACUGAUAACCGCUGAAAGCAUCUAAGCGGGAAGCAGGCCUCGAGAUGAGUUCUCACUUUGACUUAGAGUCAACUGAAGGGCCGUUGAAGACUACAACGUUGAUAGGCGAGAUGUGGAAGUGCUGUGAGGCAUUAAGCUAACUCGUACUAAUUACCCGUGAGGCUUAACCAU